AGAUUAAACUGAAGAGUUUGAUCCUGGCUCAGAUUGAACGCUGGCGGCAUGCCUUACACAUGCAAGUCGAACGGCAGCGCGGGGCAACCUGGCGGCGAGUGGCGAACGGGUGAGUAAUAUAUCGGAACGUACCCUGGAGUGGGGGAUAACGUAGCGAAAGUUACGCUAAUACCGCAUACGAUCUAAGGAUGAAAGUGGGGGAUUCGCAAGAACCUCAUGCUCCUGGAGCGGCCGAUAUCUGAUUAGCUAGUUGGUAGGGUAAAAGCCUACCAAGGCAUCGAUCAGUAGCUGGUCUGAGAGGACGACCAGCCACACUGGAACUGAGACACGGUCCAGACUCCUACGGGAGGCAGCAGUGGGGAAUUUUGGACAAUGGGCGCAAGCCUGAUCCAGCAAUGCCGCGUGAGUGAAGAAGGCCUUCGGGUUGUAAAGCUCUUUUGUCAGGGAAGAAACGG
rnacentral:rRNA from 1 species